rnacentral:rRNA from 1 species
GUAGGGUGCGAGCGUUAAUCGGAAUUACUGGGCGUAAAGCGUGCGCAGGCGGUUAUGUAAGACAGGUGUGAAAUCCCCGGGCUUAACCUGGGAACUGCGCUCGUGACUGCAUAACUUGAGUGUGGCAGAGGGGGGUGGAAUUCCACGUGUAGCAGUGAAAUGCGUAGAGAUGUGGAGGAACACCGAUGGCGAAGGCAGCCCCCUGGGUCAACACUGACGCUCAUGCACGAAAGCGUGGGGAGCAAACAGGAUUAGAUACCCUGGUAGUCCACGCCCUAAACGAUGCGAACUAGGUGUUGGGGAAGGAGACUUUCUUAGUACCGCAGCUAACGCGUGAAGUUCGCCGCCUGGGGAGUACGGUCGCAAGAUUA